rnacentral:lncRNA from 1 species
AGGAUUUUUCCAUAGUUAAUGAACAUUUGAUGAACAGAAGGUAUUUAUUAUAUAUUUUUCAAUUUAUUUGUAGAUCUCACCAACCAUGUUUGAGUUUAUAAAUCCAAUCUAAGUUGAUUAUAUCCUUUCGACGGCCAGGCGCUAUACGUGUAGAACAGCCAUAACGUAAUAGAGCGUUUCGAAAUUUUGUGUUCCAAAAAGCCAUGCUCUAUACACGGAAUACGACCGUUGCGUAAUAAAACGGUCGGAAAAUUGGCUAUCCAUAUAUCCGUAACGUAAAAAUUCGUAAAACCUUAAAAUAUACCGUAACGAUACGAAAUAAAUGUUGUUUUCAUAUACUGUGGACUUUUUAUUGCAUGUCUUUACAUCAAUAAAUUACGUUAUAGCCUUUUUAUAAAAAACAGAUUUCAACAAAACGUACCGUAAUGGUUGAAGUGUUAUAAAAGUAAAGAUACGUUCAUAUCCGCUAUGGCUGACAGUUGAAGACAAACAUGAAUUUUAAAAUUGGUUUUAUUUUUUCAUGUAUUACGUAAACUUAACGAAACAUACUGUUACAGUAAUGGCUUUCCUCAAAAGCAUGUAAUAAUAUCAACUAGAAAAUAACACACACAAAAUGUUGAGUCUUGUUGCUAGAACACAAAAAGUUCGUGUUGCGUACGCUGUGGACUUUCUAAAGUACACUUGAACAUCAAUAGAUUAUGUUGCGGCGUUUUACACGUCGAUUAAACUAGCAUUGUCUCUGCUGGAACAAGAUACGUACUUGUACAGUUCCUUCAAUACUGGUAGAAUACUGGCCCCAAGAUUUGAAGGAAUCUUAAACACUAAAGAAAAAGGACAACAAUGUUAAAAGCCUAAAACGAGGGGAAUUCCUUACGAGACAGACAAAAGACAAAAGACAAAAGACUCGUGGCGACGGUAUUGAAAGACAAGAAGGCGGUCUACAACCUAAAUACAUACUACGACCCAAUCACCAGUCUUCGCUCAGACACAGUCAUUCGCAAACAGACAAACGAGGAGGGGAAUGGGAAUGAGCGGAAGUGCCAUGUCCGAAGGCAAUCGUAAACUUCAACAAGUUUAUGGGAGGUGUCGAUAGGCAUGAUCAUUUGAGAAGUAGUUUCUCGUUACAAAGAAGCAGUACAAGCUGGUGGACGUAUUUUGCCUGGUUUGGUAUAGACAUGGCUUUAAUCAACAGCUACUUGCUCUACAAGACUGCCCACCCAAAGAUAACUCACAAGAAGUUUCAGCUGAAAUUUCAGAUUGAGGUUAAAAUAAUAUCUUUCUUACAUCCUUUUUGUUCAGAUAAAUUGAGCUUACUUUUAAAACGUAAUACAUAAAACAUCGACAUGUACCUGUACAUGUAUUUUUAUUGAUAUUAAGCAAUAAAGUCUUUUUUCAUGAGCAACAGUAAAAGAGUCUUGCUUAUGAAUUUAUUAAUAUUAUCCUACAUGUACAUAAAUGUUCUAAUGGGUUGCUGAACAGCUUAUUGGAGGGUAUUCUGAUCGCUUACGCCUGGCAAGUCAAUUGGAUCCAGUAUCCCUGUCAGAAACUUCAGUCUCAAAUCACCAGUCGGUGUCCUUCAGGGGUCGUCCGAGAACGUGUCGAUACUGCUAAUGUUAAUUGAUAUUCAAAAUUUUGUAGGAUGAGUGACUUAAUUGGCAUUUUUCUUACAGAGAAUGCUUUAUAGCUUAUCACCAAUCACUGCAGAGAAAAGUGGCUACUGCGGAUAAAAAAACCCAGACAGGUGAAUGCCUCUUGACGCCCUCAAAGAAAAGGGAUUCAAUUCGCCAGAUGAAUAAAGAUGAUGAUGAAAGGAAAUCUGGCACGAAACGUAGACUGACUCCUGCGAGGAAAGGUUUGUACAUAACGACACAACAAACAUUUGAAUAUAUUAUGAUUGAUUGAGUGAGUGAUUGACUGAUAGAUAGUAUUUUAAUUAUAUCAGAGCGACCGGUUGACCAACACGUCCCCUGGCUGUCUAACUCCUGGCAACUUCUCACCUGAAGCAGAGAUGGGUGUCAUAAUCGUCAUUAGGAGCCGGACCUUCAGGGGUUCGAACCAGAGUCCAUAGAUACACUAGCCCUUGGCUCUACCGAUAGAGCUUACCGGGCAGGUCAACAUGUAAAGACAGAAAUAAUGUAACGAGGUAAUAUUUUUAUUAUCAGACUAAACGAACAUAUUACUCUUUUUGUUUUAGAAUAAAGCCGGAAAAAUCAAAGAAUAUGUCUGUUUCUUAACUUUAUUCAGCAGACCUUGCUGGAAGCCCGCCAAGGAAAUCGCCGAGGAAGAAAACCCCGACCCAGAGGUUACAUUGUACAUGUAACAUGGGACCAAUGUCGGAAUAUAUAUGCGCAUAUAUUCGUUGAGACAUUUUAAUGUGUCAAAACUGCAAAACGGAAUUUAGAUGAUGCCUAAACUAUCCAGCAAUGACAUUUAUAUUCAUGUGUUUCAAACUUCUCGGUAGUGAAACCAGAAGAAACAUUGAACGCAGAAAUGCAGUGCAUUACGUUGCUUUUUUAUUGGAAGGCUUGGAUUGUCUGUCAGUUUUAAGUAUACUUUAUUGUGUAGAAAAUAUCUUUAUUUUAUUUUCAGAAUUGUUCUUAGAUGCAAUAUAUGUAGUUCGUUAUUAUACUUAUGCAUGCAAGUAUUCAAGCUGAUAGGUGAUGAUAUUUAAUCCGUAUAAUAUCAAUCUUAUGAUCUUGUAAUGCUAUCUGUAAUAUGUUCUAUUUAUGUGUAAGUCAGAUCGUUUUUAUAAUUAUUAUGGUAGAAAAAGUUACAUUACUGUAUUCAUUCUAUGGUAUCCGUAUCCUACGUAUUCGAGUGUAAAUUGACUUGACAAAACGUAUUCGAAGAUUGGAAAGGCAAAAUAUUCAUAACGGAUUAUGUUGUUGGAACAACGUUCAACACUGCCUUGGCUAGCUUUUAUAGUUGUUUAUACAAAACUAUCCAGUGAGAGUUAAUACGUAAAAGGUUGAAAUAUAUUCCUCCACUUGAACCUCUUGUUAGACAACCAUAGCGUACCAUUGCCUAGGAUUAGUUUAGCUUUCUUCGCGUUCGCUGUUUCGGUGUAUGUACUGAAAUUUUCUUUUUGUGUGGGCAUCCACAGCGUACUUAGCCGUUGUUUCUGUAUGAUGCUACUGCAACUUGUAUCAAGUAUCUAAGCAUUUGUUGUUUUCCUUGUAAAUCAAAUUACUGAUUCUAGUAACGGAGACCAUAACGUAUGAAAAUGCUGAAAACGCACGUUUCCACUACUGUGUCAUUUUUAUUAAAGGUAAAUUAUUAGAAUAAAAACGUAAGCCGUAGUGUAAAGAACCGUAACAGAUCGUAUUUAGUUAAAAGUUCACAGAGUUUUGAUCCGUCAUUAUUUGAAAUCAAUGAUUAUCGAAUUUCACGGAUAUAGUUUGACUAAUCAAAGUUUUGUUCUCUAAAUCUAAUAUUUUCAGAUUUCGACUUAUGCAGGAAAUUGAAAAACCUUUUUAAGUUAUACUGGAAAAGCAGACAAUUCGCAUUUGAAAUGAGUGCCAGUUUUGUUAUUAAUUGAUUUUGUUUUGAUGAAUUGAUUUUAUUACGUAAUUUUAUGUACAUGUAACCGAUUUGAUAACUCCAUAUCAUAAUAUCAUAAUAAAAAAGAAAUUAAG